rnacentral:rRNA from 1 species
CUACGGGACGCUGCAGUGAGGAAUAUUGCACAAUGGGGGGAACCCUGAUGCAGCAACGCCGCGUGGAGGAUGACGCAUUUCGGUGUGUAAACUCCUUUUAUAUGUCAAGAAAAUGACGGUAGCAUAUGAAUAAGCACCGGCUAACUCCGUGCCAGCAGCCGCGGUAAUACGGAGGGUGCAAGCGUUACUCGGAAUCACUGGGCGUAAAGGGCGCGUAGGCGGGCUUGUAAGUCAGGUGUGAAAUCCUACAGCUUAACUGUAGAACUGCACUUGAAACUACGAGCCUAGAGUAUGGGAGGGGCAGAUGGAAUUAGUGGUGUAGGGGUAAAAUCCGUAGAUAUCACUAGGAAUACCUAAAGCGAAGGCGAUCUGCUGGAACAUAACUGACGCUAAGGCGUGAAAGCGUGGGGAGCAAACAGGAUUAGAUACCCCGGUAGUC